UAAUACGAAGGGGGCUAGCGUUGUUCGGAAUCACUGGGCGUAAAGGGCGCGUAGGCGGCUUUGUAAGUCGGGGGUGAAAGCCUGUGGCUCAACCACAGAAUUGCCUUCGAUACUGCAUGGCUUGAGACCGGAAGAGGUAAGUGGAACUGCGAGUGUAGAGGUGAAAUUCGUAGAUAUUCGCAAGAACACCAGUGGCGAAGGCGGCUUACUGGUCCGGUUCUGACGCUGAGGCGCGAAAGCGUGGGGAGCAAACAGGA
rnacentral:rRNA from 1 species